rnacentral:rRNA from 1 species
AUUGAACGCUGGCGGCAGGCCUAACACAUGCAAGUCGAACGAGUGGCGGACGGGUGAGUAAUGUCUGGGAAACUGCCUGUUGGAAGGGGAUAACUACUGGAAACGGUAGCUAAUACUGCAUACCAUCAGAUGUGCCCAGAUGGGAUUAGCUAGUAGGUGAGGUAACGGCUCACCUAGGCGACGAUCCCUAGCUGGGCUGAGAGGAUGACCAGCCAAACUGGAACUGGGACACGGUCCAGACGCCUACGUGAGGCAGCAGUGGGGAAGAUUGCACAAUGGGCGCAAGCCUGAUACAGCCAUGGCGCGUGGAUGAAGAAGGCCUUCGGGUUGUAAAGUACUUUCAGCGGGGAGGCGUUACCCGCAGAAGAAGCACCGGCUAACUCCGUGCCAGCAGCCGCGGUAAUUC